GACGAACGCUGGCGGCGUGCUUAACACAUGCAAGUCGAACGGAGUGGCGAACGGGGGAGUAACACGGGGGUGACCUGCCCUGCACUUCGGGAGAAGCCUGGGAAACUGGGGCUAAUACCGGAUAGUGGGGGAUGGGCACGCGGCCUCUCAGCUUGUUGGUGGGGUAAUGGCCUACCAAGGCGGCGAAGGGUAGCCGGCCUGAGCGGGUGGCCGGCCACGUUGGGACGGAGACACGGCCCCGACUCCUACGGGAGGCAGCAGUGGGGAAUAUUGCACAAUGGGCGGAAGCCUGAUGCAGCGACGCCGCGUGGGGGAUGACGGCCUUCGGGUUGUAAACUCCUUUCACCAUCGACGCGGUAGAUGGAGAAGAAGCACCGGCUAACUACGUGCCAGCCGCCGCGGUAAUUC
rnacentral:rRNA from 1 species